rnacentral:rRNA from 1 species
CCUUGCACACACCGCCCGUCGCUUCAGCGAAGUUGGUUCUUGGCGAGGUGGUGCCUCAUUGGCACUAUCGAACCUGGGGUCAGCAACGAGGGAG